rnacentral:lncRNA from 1 species
GCUGUGAGCACGGGAAUCUUCUUGAAGGGCAUCUGCAGGUGAGAACACGGCUCCAUGCCACACUUGGCUCUGCAGGUGCCCGAGUGGCUAGAGCUUCUCCCAGGGACUGUUCAACCCCAGACCCAGAGAGCAGACAGACUCAGAGGCAGGCUACAGAGGUGCCACUGCUGGCAAACCCCAUCUGUCCACCCAUCUAUCCAUCCAUCUACACAUCCUUCCAUCUAUCCGCUCAUCCAUCCGUCCAUCCAUCCAGUGAUUCAGCAGCUAGUGGUCACCAAUUUGAUGCUGGGAUUGGAGGCACAGGGAAGAGGAACCUCACUGGGUGCUGGACUCUCUGUAGUACCUGGCACAUAGUUUGAUGUAGGGGAACUCUUUAUCACUAGAAGAGGUGAGACAGACAGUCAGGGCCUCAUGGGCUCUGAGCUGGAUGCUGGGCUUAGUAUCUGCUCUGCUGUUCCCUGGCGUGUUAUUCACUGGGCACAGUGAAUAAGCCCUACCUUGAGAGCUGCUCACGAAGGUUAAAGGGCUAAUCCUGCGAGCACUAGAACCGCAUCUGGAUCAAGACAGCCAGAUGCGGCCAUCACCACCGUCAGGCCAACAUCAUCUCUGUGGAAAGAGCCCACAGUCUCGAAGGAGCCGACGAUACGCUGAGGGAGGACCACGUGGAUGGAGGGGGCAGAAGACGACACAGACACGGAACAUGGAGAAAGAGACCGACCGUGCCCACGGGUCCCCGGGACACCAGGGACCUGCCUCUGUCUACCUGGCUAGAACUCACAUUGAACACACCUACGGCAAACUCACAGGCCUGGGGUGGGGCUGGGCACUUCCAUGGGAGCACAACACAGAGUUGCUGGCGUCCAGGUCAAGGUGACCACAUUAGGAGAACACAGAGCUCCUGUUCCCAGCCCACUCCCUUCUGCAAGGUAAGUGCUGCUCUACCUCCCAGCACCCGGGGCUCGAGCGGCGUUCCUGGUGUGAAGGGCAGAGGCCCGUCCUCUCUGCAUGGCCCCAGUACUCCCCUCUGGGAAGGCCCCACAGUCUGCUCAUCCAUUCUGUUACGGAUUGGAUGUUUGGUGAUUCUAGUUUGAGGAUUAACCAAUGAUGCUGUGAAUAUUCUCAUAUUUGUCUUCUGCUGUAUAUGGGUGCAUAGAGAUGUCUUCCUCUGUUAGGGGCCAUCACAGAGGGGAAGUGCAGAAGUUUCCCCAUAGGGGGAUGUCCUCAGACUGUGUGCCCGGAGUCUAGCGGCUGCCCCUCUCUGCCAGCUCCUGGUAGUACCCGAAGUCCCCUUUACCCAGACCCUGAGUGAACUCCCGGCCCAUGUGGAGAACCGUGGUGCUGGAACGGAGCCCAGCCUGCGCCACUUCUCAGCCUCUGCCUCCUGUCUGGCGUCUUCUUGUCUCUCACUCAGAACAUGUAGCCGAGGAUUCAC